UACGGAGGAUGCAAGCGUUAUCCGGAAUGAUUGGGCGUAAAGCGUCCGCAGGUGGCAAUGUAAGUCUGCUGUCAAAGCGUCUGGCUCAACCAGAUAAAGGCAGUGGAAACUACAUAGCUAGAGUACGGUAGGGGUAGAGGGAAUUCCUGGUGUAGCGGUGAAAUGCGUAGAGAUCAGGAAGAACACCGGUGGCGAAAGCGCUCUGCUGGACCUUAACUGACACUGAGGGACGAAAGCUAGGGGAGCGAAUGGG
rnacentral:rRNA from 1 species